UCAGGAUGAACGCUAGCGGCAGGCUUAACACAUGCAAGUCGAGGGGGCAGCGGGUCUAGCAAUAGAUGCCGGCGACCGGCGAAAGGGUGAGUAACGCGUGAGCAACGUGCCCGUAUGUGGGGGAUAGUCGAUGGAAACGUCGCGUAAUACCCCGUAACACAGGUUCCCGCAUGGGGAUAUGUUGAAAGACUAAUUGCAUACGGAUCGGCUCGCGUGCCAUUAGGUAGACGGCGGGGUAACGGCCCACCGUGCCGACGAUGGCUAGGGGUUCUGAGAGGAAGGUCCCCCACAUUGGAACUGAGACACGGUCCAGACUCCUACGGGAGGCAGCAGUGAGGAAUAUUGGACAAUGGCCGGAAGGCUGAUCCAGCCAUGCCGCGUGCGGGAGGACGGCCCUAUGGGUUGUAAACCGCUUUUGCGGGGGAGCAAUAAGUGUUACGUGUAACACGAUGAGAGUACCCUGCGAAUAAGCAUCGGCUAACUCCGUGCCAGCCGCCGC
rnacentral:rRNA from 1 species